AUAUACAUUACUAUUCAUAGCUGAAGACGAGGGUUCGAAUCCUUCCGUCGCUA
rnacentral:tRNA from 1 species